CCCUUAGAUGUCCGGGGCUGCACGCGCGCUACACUGAAGGAAUCAGCGUGCUAAAACCAUUGUCGAAAGGCAUUGGUAAACCCAUUAAAAUCCUACGUGAUUGGGAUCGGGAAUUGCAAUUAUUUCCCUUGAACGAGGAAUUCCCAGUAAGUGUGGGUCAUAAGCUCGCGUUGAUUACGUCCCUGCCCUUUGUACACACCGCCCGUCGCUGCCCGGGACUGAGCCGUUUCGAGAAAAGCGGGGACUGCUGCUGUCGGGGCUUUCGGGCCUUGGCUUCGGUGAAAACCGCUUUAAUCGCANUNGCUUGANCCGGGCAAAANUCGUANCA
rnacentral:rRNA from 1 species